CAGAGAGAAAGGGAAGCAGACUCCCUGCUGAGCAGAGAGCCCAAUUCGGGCCUUGAUCCCAGGAUCCUGAGAUCAGGACUUGAGCGGAAGGCAGAGGCUUAACCCACUGAGCCACCCAGCGCCCCUAGCCCAUUUUUAACACUAAAAGUCUCCCAAAGCAGCAAACCCAGCCCUGCCCACACAGGAUGGUCAGGACCCAGGAUGUGGGGCAACCUGCCUCCUGCACCAGGCCUUUGCCCCUCUGUAUAUCUCAGGCUCCAAUCACAGUGAGUAAUUUCCACAUAAUCAACUUGCCUGAAGCCUUUCUGGAACAGUAUUUAAAAAAAAAUACGGGAGUGACCGGGUGGCUCCGUUGGUUAAGCGUCCACCUUGCGCUCAGGUCUUGAGCGCAGCGUCCUGGGAUCCUGCCCCCCAUCGGGCUCCCUGCUCAGCCAGGAGGCUGCUUCUCCCUCUGCCUGCUGCUCCCCCUGCUUGCUUUAUUUUUGCUCUCACAGAACACUUCGCCCCACAGCAGCUGGGCCGAGCUGCAGGGCUCCCACCUAAAGAACACCUGCCCCGGGGCUGCCGCCCGCUUCCUCCCAAGUCACCCUGGGCCGCUCGCUGCCUCUUCUGCAUUGCGACCUCCGGAGAAGCGAUCAGCUGGUGCUCGUGUGGUGGCUCUCCCGGGACAAUGAAGCAGCGAUGUUUGUCAUCCACAACGCACAGCUGCAAGAAAAACACCCUACUCUGGGAGUCUGAGCUGCUCCACUGAAUAUGGUGAAUGUCAGCCUGAGUGCAAGUUCACUGAGCCAAGAUAAUGAAUUACUGAGAGCACGCACUAAGGAAAAUCAAAAUUGCUCCCCAUUCAACUGAUGCUCCUCUUGUUUUGUCAUUCAAACACAUCUGCCAAACCCAACCAACACUUUUAAUCUUGUGUCUUAUUAAAGCCUCAGUCAUAUGUGCAAGAAUAACCACCACCAUGAGUGCCAGAACCUUCCUUCUUCUGCUACUUGCUGAGUUUCUACCACCAAUCCAGUUCCUGGUAUCAGAAACAUAGUCAAUAAAUAUUUAUCACAUGAAUGAACUAAUAAUGGAUUCACAUAUGAAUAAAUGUGUC
rnacentral:lncRNA from 1 species